CGAACGCUGGCGGCGUGCUUAACACAUGCAAGUCGAACGGUAAGGCCCUUCGGGGUACACGAGUGGCGAACGGGUGAGUAACACGUGGGUGAUCUGCCCUGCACUUUGGGAUAAGCCUGGGAAACUGGGUCUAAUACCGGAUAUCACCAUGCGCUCCACGGUGUGUGGUGGAAAGCUUUUGCGGUGUGGGAUGGGCCCGCGGCCUAUCAGCUUGUUGGUGGGGUAAUGGCCUACCAAGGCGACGACGGGUAGCCGGCCUGAGAGGGUGACCGGCCACACUGGGACUGAGAUACGGCCCAGACUCCUACGGGAGGCAGCAGUGGGGAAUAUUGCACAAUGGGCGCAAGCCUGAUGCAGCGACGCCGCGUGAGGGAUGACGGCCUUCGGGUUGUAAACCUCUUUCAGCACAGACGAAGCGCAAGUGACGGUAUGUGCAGAAGAAGGACCGGCCAACUACGUGCCAGCAGCCGCGGUAAUACGUAGGGUCCGAGCGUUGUCCGGAAUUACUGGGCGUAAAGAGCUCGUAGGUGGUUUGUCGCGUUGUCCGUGAAAACUCACAGCUCAACUGUGGGCGUGCGGGCGAUACGGGCAGACUGGAGUACUGCAGGGGAGACUGGAAUUCCUGGUGUAGCGGUGGAAUGCGCAGAUAUCAGGAGGAACACCGGUGGCGAAGGCGGGUCUCUGGGCAGUAACUGACGCUGAGGAGCGAAAGCGUGGGGAGCGAACAGGAUUAGAUACCCUGGUAGUCCACGCCGUAAACGGUGGGUACUAGGUGUGGGUUUCCUUCCUUGGGAUCCGUGCCGUAGCUAACGCAUUAAGUACCCCGCCUGGGGAGUACGGCCGCAAGGCUAAAACUCAAAGAAAUUGACGGGGGCCCGCACAAGCGGCGGAGCAUGUGAUUAAUUCGAUGCAACGCGAAGAAC
rnacentral:rRNA from 1 species